AUUGAACGCUGGCGGCAGGCCUAACACAUGCAAGUCGAACGGUAACAGGAAACAGCUUGCUGUUUCGCUGACGAGUGGCGGACGGGUGGGUAAUGUCUGGGAAACUGCCUGAUGGAGGGGGAUAACUACUGGAAACGGUAGCUAAUACCGCAUAACGUCGCAAGACCAAAGUGGGGGAUCUACGGACCUCAUGCCAUUGGAUGAACCCAGAUGGGAUUAGCUAGUAGGUGGGGUAAUGGCUCACCUAGGCGACGAUCUCUAGCUGGUCUGAGAGGAUGACCAGCCACACUGGAACUGAGACCCGGUCCAGACUCCUACGGGAGGCAGCAGUGGGGAAUAUUGCACAAUGGGCGCAAGCCUGAUGCAGCCAUGCCGCGUGUGUGAAGAAGGCCUUAGGGUUGUAAAGCACUUUCAGCAAGGAGGAAGGGUAUAGGUUUAAUAGACUUGUACAUUGACGUUACUCGCAGAAGAAGCACCGGCUAACUCCGUGCCAGCCGCCGCCGUAA
rnacentral:rRNA from 1 species